UACGUAGGUGGCAAGCGUUGUCCGGAAUUAUUGGGCGUAAAGCGCGCGCAGGUGGUUCUUUAAGUCUGAUGUGAAAGCCCACGGCUCAACCGUGGGGGGUCAUUGGAAACUGGGGAACUUGAGUGCAGAAGAGGAAAGUGGAAUUCCACGUGUAGCGGUGAAAUGCGUAGAGAUGUGGAGGAACACCAGUGGCGAGGGCGACUUUCUGGUCUGUAACUGACACUGAGGCGCGAAAGCGUGGGGAGCGAACAGG
rnacentral:rRNA from 1 species